CUCCCAGCUGAGCUACGGCCCCUAAAUCAGAAUAAAGCGUUUAAAACGAUCAAAAGAGGGAUUACAAAAUCUAUAUAACUCAAAGCGAUAUGAUUGAACCGAUAGUUUCAUAUAGGCAUUGACGUCUAUGAGCAUUUGGAAUUUAUAUCAACCAAAUGGACGCUGUAAAAAUCACUUUGCAAGGAAUUUUGACUCCUUAGUAUUUAGCAUUUGAACUGUUUUUUUGCCAUUAAUUUGCUUUAACUUUGGAUUACUCACACAAAAGCAAUAAGCCUGCCAAUUUUGAUAAGCUUUUUAGAAGCAAUCUUUUUAGAAGUACUUAUUUUUUAAAAGCACUUAUGAAAGUAAUGGAUAAACUGGUGGGCCUGGGAGGACUUGAACCUCCGACCUCACGCUUAUCAAGCGCGCGCUCUAACCAACUGAGCUACAAGCCCUCCGGGAUAAACCGGAAAACCUUCCCCGGCAUCCUCUUAUAAAACGCUUAAAUUUUAUCAAGGAAAGCGUUUUUCAAAGCCCACGGUGGACUUGUUUUGUCUAGAUCGCCAAAAGGCUUG
rnacentral:misc_RNA from 1 species